GUUUCUCAAAAGACCAAAAUGAGAACAUUUAAUGAAGGAGAAGAAAUAAUGCUUACAAGUCAAUAUUUUGAGAUAAUGGUUUGGAUUAACAUCAAUGUUUGCUGUCCUCUCAUCUUUUUGGUCAUCUUUCUGUGUUUUGUGGUGCGAUUGGAUCAUAUUCCAGUCACCUACUACAUUAACCUCCUCAUAUUCAAUCUGAUCCAGAUCAUCAUUCUGACAUUUUGCAUACAUAGAACAUAUCCUUUUUAUUAUUAUCGCCUGUCUGAUGUGUUUUUUCUCUACUGCUACAGUGGGGUGGGCAGUGUUUGCUUCAGGAUGAUCUUUGCUGUUGAAAGGAGUCUUUUCCUCUGCAGGCCACAGUUCGAUUUCAUAAGAAAAAUGAGAGGCUUUGUAACAUUCUGUUCUUUGGCUUGGGCAUUCUCGAUUGUUCUUUUCCUCAUCUUUUUCUUUGACGUGGCUUAUACCAAAAUGCUUUUCUUGAUUUUUACUGCCAUGUUUUUUAUCUGUCUAGUUGUAACCAUUAUGUCACUCUGUACUCCCACCUUAGACCGAGCUGAAGAAAAGUGCAGAGUGGUUGGAUCAUUAGUUAUUCUGCUGAUUAAUUACGCAGCAUUAAUUCCCUCUGUUAUUGUUCAUUUGAUAGAUCUACCUUUUUUGAAGAUGGCCUUUACAUUGAUGCUGCACUGCCCUUUAAUUGAUUUCCUUUUGUUAGUUUUCAUAUCUAAAGGCCCUUUUAUUCAGCUGCUGAUGUGUUUGUGCUGCUGCAGGAGGAGGAACCCUGCAGAGGAGGAGAGAAGCACAUCAGCUGUUAGACAGGACAGACUACUGAGCUCAGACACACUCAGGGUAGCAGAAAGACAAGGAGAUCAAGUAUAGAUAACAAAAUAAAUACAUAAAAUCAAAGAUUACAGGACUAAAUGCACAUGGAGACACCUUAGACAUAGUCUGGGGAUAAUAAACAAUAUUUUAGUUUUGCUUCAAAAGAAGGUGACAGUAGUAAGGGUUACAUUAGCAAAUAAUUUGAAUCCCAGUUCCUACACAUCAUUUAUAACUCCUUUUAUAUUUACGUACACCCUUGAAAAGUACUGCAGGUAACACCUUAAAUACUUUAGCGCAGUACCAUCAUAUUAUGCUGAAAAUAACAACAUAUUUUAAAUGAGUACAUCCAC